AAUGGCCUAAAGGCUGAACCAGUAACUUGGAAGAAUGUAAAUGUAUUAAUAAUUAAUACAAUAACGAUUAAUUCGUAUAAAAUUCUAAAUAGAAUAAUGAUAAUGACAAUUUUCUAUUUAUAAGUCUUGACCAAAUUACGUGCCAGCAGUCGCGGUAAUACGUAAAAGACUAGUGUUAGUCAUCUUUAUUAGGUUUAAAGGGUACCUAGACGGUAAAUUAAACUCUUAUUGAGUAUCUUUUUACUAGAGUUUUAUAAGAGAAGGAAGAAUUUUUGGAGUAGUGAUAAAAUACUUUUAUACCAAAAAGACUGAUAACGGCGAAGGCAUCCUUCUAUGUAAAAACUGACGUUGAGGGACGAAGGCUUGGGUAGCAAUAAGGAUUAGAUACCCUAGUAGUCCAAGCAGAAAAUGAUGAAUGUCAUAAACUAGAUAAUUAAUUUAGUAUAUAAAUGAAAGUGUAAGCAUUCCACCUCAAGAGUAAUAUGGCAACAUAUAAACUGAAAUCAUUAGACCGUUUCUGAAACCAGUAGUGAAGUAUGUUAUUUAAUUCGAUAAUCCGCGAAAAACCUUACCACAAUUUGAAUAAUAAAUUAUUAUUUAUUACAAGCGCUGCACGGCUGUCUUUAGUUAAUGUCGUGAGAUCUGGUUAAUUCCUUUAAUUAACGAAAACCCUCAUUUUAUUUAUAUAUAUAAAAUGGUUCACCGUUAUAUUGGUUUGAUAAAAGGGAUUAAGACAAGUCAUCAUGGCCUAAAUGUUGUCUAAAUGUUGU
rnacentral:rRNA from 1 species